UGCAAGUCGAGCGCACCCUUCGGGGCGAGCGGCGGACGGGUUAGUAACGCGUGGGAACGUACCCUUUUCUACGGAAUAGCCUCGGGAAACUGAGAGUAAUACCGUAUACGCCCUUCGGGGGAAAGAUUUAUCGGAGAAGGAUCGGCCCGCGUUAGAUUAGAUAGUUGGUGGGGUAAUGGCCUACUAAGUCUACGAUCUAUAGCUGGUUUUAGAGGAUGAUCAGCAACACUGGGACUGAGACACGGCCCAG
rnacentral:rRNA from 1 species